rfam:Gossypium arboreum cultivar AKA8401 contig_4937_5, whole genome shotgun sequence.
UGUUAAAAAUUUCAUCUAUUUAUAUUGUUAAAAACUGACAUGGUUAUUAGAAUAACCAAACAGUAACAUAUGACGUGCCAUGUAUACCUCAUGCUGACAUACAAUGAUCAGUUUUUAACAGUAGAAAUUGAUGAAAUUUUUAAUA